GCCACGAUGGCUCAAGGGUUGAGCAUCUACCUAUGAACCAGAAGGUCACGGUUCGAUUCUUAGUUGGGGCA
rnacentral:tRNA from 1 species